AGACCCGGUGGCGGGCAGACACAGGCUGGUGGCGGGCAGAUACAGGCCCAGCACCAGUGGUACUGCCUGAGCUAUAGCUCUGUGUCAGGUGAGCUGUAGCUCUGUGUCAGGCCCAGGCUAACAGUUGCCAUGUGUUACCUCCCCAGGUCUGCACAGUGUCCCCGUGAGGUUGGCACCAUUACUGUCCCAUUUCUGGAAUGGGAAGAUUAAGGCUGAGUGAUGUUAAGUAACUUGCCCAAGGACACAGCCCUAGGAAGUAAUGCAGCCACGACACGGACUCCACAGCCCAUGGUUUUGACCCAGUACCGUCCACCAUCUCUUGGCAUCACAGUGAGGAACAGGCCCCGUGGAAGUGGCACACAGGGUCUGUGGAGCAUGAGGAGGGCAGGCAGCCCAGCCUGGGUUCAGAGCCAGCUCCUGGGGCAGCUCCACUGGAGAGUCUCGUGACGUCACUGCUAGCUGAGCCAUAGCGCGUCCCCCAUGCCCACCUGGCUGCCCACUCCCAGGCAGGCCUCGAUGCCCUGCGUGUCAAGCACUUGCUGUAUUCCAGACAGCAGGCGGGGAGGAGGGCACACAGAGCGGGCGUGAGUCCCCUGCCUUGCAGGAGGCCACAGCCCUGCCCAGCACAGACCCGAGGCUCCUGUGGGCCUCUCUGAACACCCCCAAAGCGCCGGCCGCUCCAAGCUCUCUGCUCCUCAGCCUCACACCCGGGCUCGCCUGGCCAAGUUCUGGAGGCUUACAACAGGCUGUGCUUUCAUGGUCUCAGCUGGGGAGUCUUGGAUGGGAGCAAACCCUCGCCCACAUUUGGAGCCCCCCACACCUGGCCCGUGCUCCUCAGCACUGUGCCCCCCAGCUAGCGGCUCUUCCUCCCCACGCUCUGGCUUGGCCGCCAUCUUUCAGCGGCCUCUUCAGGCUCAGCUGCCGCAGCAACCUGAAAAAAGGGAGCAUGUUCUAAUUAACACUGAGAGGCUCAUUAGAGAGACGGAGGCCCCCGCGGCCCCUGCCGCUGCUGCUUCUGGCAGAAGCUGAGAAAUUGCUCUCUCGGGAGGAGGCGAGGCCAUCAUUCCUCCUGAUUUCUGGGGUUUAGAGGGAAGUGGGCAGAGCUGCUCCCUGGCCAGCGGGCUCAGAGACCCCUCCUUCCCUGGGGCUGCCUCCCUGCCACACCUCUCUCUGCUCUCUGACCUGGCCCUGGUUCAGAAUGGGACUGGGGUAGAUGGGAGGGCCUGGCUGUCGUGAAUGGAGCUGACCUAGGCCAUUAAUGAGUCCCCAGGUCCUGCCAGGAUGCUGGGGGUGGGAGGAAGGAGGGAGUCCUGGGUUCCAAGCCCAGGCCUGAACAAGAGUCCGGAUUUUGAUUUCCCUGGGGUCACAGGAGAGAAUUCAGUUUAGUUCUUGUCUGCAAACAGCCUCAACCACAGGCCUGGCACAGCACUGGGCACAAGGGAUGCAGAGACAGCUGUCUUGCCUGUGAUGGACAGUCCGCGGUGAGAGCUCUGAGCAGGGGGUGGCACUGAGCAUUGAGGGUGGGGAGGAAGGUGUAGGGACAGUGCAGGUUGUGGGUGUAGCAGGCCCAAGUCUGGGAUCAGUGGGGGUUGGUUGUUAAAUGGGUUAGGACACAUGAUGGUGAGCCCAGAACUGAAUUCCAGUGUUACUCAGGGAGCAGUUGCUCCAUGCCGGUUAAGGUGCUGGGUGCUGGACAGGAUGACUAAGACAUAUUUGAUGCCGUGAAUAACUUAUGCUCUGUUGGAGCCUGGGGGAGGGAAAGGGAGGGAAGGAUGGGUUGGAGAAAUGCCACAAAGAUUAGUGCCAAAGACUGAGUGCCAAAGAGAAGUUGAGGCCCGAGGCAGGGAGACCCCGUCUGUUCGGGGCAUUGAGAGGGCUGCACGGAGGAGGCACAUUUGAGAUAGGUCUCGAAAAAGAGGACAUUUCUACCUGGACGAAAGGGGAGGCUGGGAGUUGAGGUUGGGGAGAGCAUUGCAGGCUGGGAGAGAACGCAGAUGAGUGCCCAAGACUCGUGGGGGCAGCCGGGGAGAGCAGGCAGGAGCUGCUGAGCAAUGUGGACUUUGUGGCCCUGCCAGAUUGUUAGGGCUGGAAAACCAGGAAGAAGCGUUUGUAUCUGUUUGGGGCAAUGGUUGUCAAACAAAGAGAAGCCAGGUUGCUGCUGUCUGAGAGCUUGGGUCUGGUUCUGCAGUGUGAGGUGAUGGUGGGAGUAAGAAGAACACAGAGGUAGUAAGGAUGCUGCGGACGUCGUCCAGGUGGGAAGACAGAGAGCCCUAUGUGGUGACAUUCUGGAAGGAAGAUGGGUGAUUGCAAAAGGUCUAGGGGUGGGGGCCCAGGAGCUACAGUCGGCUGACAGACACAGUGGACAGGACAAACAAAAACCCCAGGACAAGGCGAGUUUCCCAGGCUGGGUGCUGGUCAGGCCAAUAAGGAAGUCAACAAGAGCUGGUUUGGGUGAGGUAGGGAAAACAGUCUAGAUGGACAGAGGAUCCACAAGCUGUUGGAAAUGUGAGUCUAGGAUCAAGGCUAGGAAUGGAGACUUGAGAGUCGUUCCCAUCAUUAUCACUGUCACCAUGAAGCAGUUACCACUUAGUAAGCUGCUGCUCUGUGCUGGGUGCUACAUGAAAUAAUUUCAUCCUCACGAGAAGAUACAGGGUCAGCAAGAUAAGCCCUACUUAAUAGAUGUGAAAACUGAAAGUCAAAGAUGUUAAAUUCAUCCAAGGCCAAUCAGCAGGGAUCUGGGGCUGGCCAUUCCCCUUAUUUGCCACUUGGCUCACCGGCCCGUCAAAGUAGAGUGAAGUUAAGAGAAUGCACUGGGUCCUCAGAGGGAAGGCAGACGGGGCUGAGAAGGUGUCAACCUGGGGAGCCUGUUUAGAGUGACCCGGAAGGCUCUGCCUGACACAGCUCUCCUCUUAAUUCAUUGUUAAUUAUCACCUGUCACGGGCUCCUCUGAUGAUGUCCAACACAGAAGCUAUGGAGAAUGUCCAGAGUGUACGAGGAAAGUUAAAACGUGUGUGGAGACUGGCAGCGGCACCCAUGUGACUCGUAACCAGCGCACGUAGGGGUUCUGUGGCCAGAAUACAGGAUUAAGGGGUUGUAGGGAGACAGGACAACCAGGAUAGGCUGAGUAAUAAGCACUGGGGAGAGCUGCAGUAAGGAGCGGGGAGGGAGGCUGAGGAGGCCCUUGGGCUGAGUGACAAGCCCCAGAUCUGCCUCUUCCCUGCUGAUGGGCCUUGGAUGAGUUUAACAUCUUUCGCCCUUGACUGAGACGGGAGGCAGCAGGAGCCAGAGCACAAGGCUCAGGGCAGGGUUGGGUCAGUAUCUGGCAUUUGCUCCUGGAGUGAGGCAGAGGCUAGUGCUCCUAGAGGUUCAGUGGAAAAUAGGAAUAAAGGGAAUAGGCUAGUGCCCCAGAGGCAGUGGAGUCAGCAGAGUUACGUUGUAGCCUGGGGAGAUCUGGAAAGAUCUGUGGCCAGGUGCAAAGCUGCAGAUAGAAGGAAGGAAAUAGGAGUAAAAAGAGCACCUGUGGGGUGAGCUGAACACACAAAGGAGGCGGGAGGGGGAGAGCAUCUGCUGUGGGUCAGAUUAGGAAGGUUUUUGAGAGUCACAAAUAUAACUUUGGAAUUAAUUUGUCCAAUACAUACUCAUUGAAGACCUACUAUGUGCUGGGCACUGUCCAAGCGUUGGAGGAGACAGCAGUGACCAUGGAGGGCAAAAUCUGCCCUCGUGGGGUUUGAUGUCUAGUGGAGGAUGUGAUGGGACAGAUUCAAGAAUGUAAAAUCUGGUUUUCUUUCCUGCUUGGGUGAAGUAUAGACAUCGCCCAGUAGUAGACGGAGUCUCCUAGGGUUAUAUCAGCUAGUCUUCUGCCUUCAAGCAGGAUGACACCAUGCCAAGGGCCCGGACCCCAUCACCGUUUUGGGAGCAUCUCGAGCAAUGGAUUUCAUACCUUCCCUGUGUUGCCAAUAGCAUCUCGUGCUGCAGAAGAAUGUUCUUGGGCCUGGGGUUUCCCUAGAAGUACAAAUAGGCCAGAUGAGAAAGAAAUGUGAAAUCUGGCCGGGUGCAGCGGCUCACACCUGUAAUCCCAGCACUUUGGGAGGCCGAGGCGGGCGGAUCACCCAGGCGCCAGGAGUUCAAGACCAGCCUGGCCAGCAUGGCAGAACCCCGUGUCUACUAAAAAAAAAAAUACAAAAGUUAGCCAGGCACAGUGGCGCACACCUGUAAUCUCAGCUACUCUGGAGGCUGAGGCAGGAGAAUCGCUUGAACCCAGGAGGCGGAGGUUAUGGUGAGCUGAGAUUGUGCCACUGCACUCUAGCCUGGGUGACAGAGCGGGACUCCAUCUCAAAAAAAAAAAAGAAAUGGGAAAUCUGUCGGUUUCUCGUGGUGCUUGAGUAAGGUUGACAGAGAUUGAGAGAAAAGGAGCCAGUUUAGUGCUCAGUCCCCUUCCUCUCUACAUUUCCCCUGGGGGAGGACUUUCCUGCCUGAGCCAAAGCCAAGUCCCUAUUCCAGGCCUCAGGAAAUGUGUCCAAAUUCAGCAGGGAGAGUGAGCCAGGCUACAGUAUUUCUGCAGGGGCAGGAACAGAAUGCCUCAGAGGCAAGUGUCUGUGUCUGUUAUGGGCACCUGAGGUCAUACCUGGUAAAGAUCAAGUGGGCAGCUGUCCAGUUCAUACCGUGGGCAGAAUUCUAAGAUGGCCCUCAAGUCCCCUUCACACCAGUGUACACAUCCUCUAUAAUCCCCUUCCGUUGAGUAUGGGCAGGAUGAGCGAAUGUGAUGGGACAUCACUCUGAUGAUUAGGUUGCCAUUUGGUUGCUUUUGAGUUAAUAAAAAGAAACGUCAUCCAGGGUGGGUCUGAGCUAGUCAGGUCCGCCCUAUAAAUGAAGCUGAGGCCCCAGACAGACACUGUCCUGUUGGCCUUGAAGGACUGAGCUAUCCGGUGAUGAAAAAGGCCACGUGCCAGGGGACAGCAGGCAACCUCUGGUGACUGAGGGCCUAAGUCCUGUGAUUACGGGAGCUGAACUGUGCCAACAAGAGUGAGCUCAAAGGAGGACCCCACACCUUAGAUGAUAUUGCAGCCCUGAGUGCUAUCUUGGUUUCAGCCUGGUGAGAUCCUGAGCAGAUAACCCAGAUGAGCCGUGCCCAGACUAGAUUCACAGAGCGACAUGAGAAAUAAACAGGCGCUGCUUCAAGUGG